UACGGAGGGGGCUAGCGUUGUUCGGAAUUACUGGGCGUAAAGCGCGCGUAGGCGGAUCGAUCAGUCAGAGGUGAAAUCCCGGAGCUCAACUUCGGAACUGCCUUUGAUACUGUCGAUCUGGAGUCCGGGAGAGGUGCAUGGAAUUCCGAGUGUAGAGGUGAAAUUCGUAGAUAUUCGGAGGAACACCAGAGGCGAAGGCGAUGCACUGGACCGGUACUGACGCUGAGGUGCGAAAGCGUGGGGAGCAAACAGG
rnacentral:rRNA from 1 species